UGUGCGAUAAAUCAUUCAAGUUUCUGCCCUAUCAGCUUUGGAUGGUAGUGUAUUGGACUACCAUGGCAGUCACGGGUAACGGAGGAUUAGGGUUCGAUUCCGGAGAGGGAGCCUGAGAAACGGCUACCACAUCUACGGAAGGCAGCAGGAGCGAAAAUUGCCCAAUCCCGACACGGGGAGGCAGUGACGAGAAAUAACAACUCUUGGUUAUUCUAAGAAGUGUAAUGAGGAUAAUUUAAAACCCUUACCGAAAGCAAUUGGAGGGCAAGUCUGGUGCCAGCAGCCGCGGUAAUUCCAGCUCCAAUAGCGUAUAUUAAAGUUGUUGCAGUUAAAAAGCUCGUAGUUGAAGUUCUGGCUGCUUGACCCUCGAGCUCUGUAGCCGAGGGCUCAGCAGUCAUCCGCUUGCAAAUAUAUGUUCGCCUUUAACCGGGCGGCUAUAUGAGUAAGCAUUUUACCUUGAGAAAAACAGAGUGUUCCAGGCAGGUUUGUCCGGAAUGCAUUAGCAUGGAAUAAUAGAAUAUGACUGAAGUCGAUUUAUUGGUUUGAGGCUUUAGUAUGAUUAAUAGGAACAGUCGGGGGCAUUGGUACUUGUCAGUCAGAGGUGAAAUUCUAGGAUUUGACAAAGACUAACAAAUGCGAAAGCAUUUGCCAAGGAUGUUUUCAUUAAUCAAGAACGAAAGUUAGGGGAUCAAAGACGAUCAGAUACCGUCCUAGUCUUAACUAUAAACUAUACCGACUCGGAUUCAGAUGAAUCUUAAAGUUCAUUUGGGACCGUAGGAGAAAUCAAGGUUUUUGGGUUCUGGGGGAAGUAUGGUCGCAAGGCUGAAACUUAAAGGAAUUGACGGUUUUGCACCACCAUGGAGUGGAGUCUGCGGCUUAAUUUGACCCAACACUGGGAAACUCAUCAGGGCAAGAAGAUUGUAGGAUUGACAGAUUGAGAGUUCUUUCUUGAUUGGUCUAGUGGUGGUGCAUGGCCGUUCUUAGUUGGUGGAGUGAUUUGUCUGGUUAAUUCCGUUAACGAACGAGACCUUAACCUGCUAACUAGUACACCGAUGACAAAUCGGUGAUACUUCUUAGAGGGACUAUGUGAUGUAAUCACAUGGAAGUUUGAGGCAAUAACAGGUCUGUGAUGCCCUUAGAUGUCCUGAGCUGCACGCGUACUACAGUGGUGCUUUCAUCGAGCUUUUCCUGAUCCGAAAGGAUUUGGGUAAUCUUUUUAGUGAGCACCGUGCUUGGGAUAGAUCUUUGUAAUUAUGGAUCUUGAACUAGGAAUUCCUAGUAAGCACGUGUCAUCAGCA
rnacentral:rRNA from 1 species